CACGUAGGGGGCAAGCGUUGUCCGGAAUCAUUGGGCGUAAAGAGCGUGUAGGCGGUCCGGUAAGUCCGCUGUGAAAGUCGGGGGCUCAACCCUCGAAUGCCGGUGGAUACUGUCGGGCUAGAGUGCGGAAGAGGCGAGUGGAAUUCCUGGUGUAGCGGUGAAAUGCGCAGAUAUCAGGAGGAACACCUAUUGCGAAGGCAGCUCGCUGGGACGUAACUGACGCUGAGACGCGAAAGCGUGGGGAGCAAACAGG
rnacentral:rRNA from 1 species